rnacentral:misc_RNA from 1 species
GAUGAAGAACGCAGCGAAAUGCGAUAAGUAAUGUGAAUUGCAGAAUUCAGUGAAUCAUCGAAUCUUUGAACGCACCUUGCGCUCCUUGGUAUUCCAAAGAGCAUGCCUGUUUGAGUAUCAUUAAAUUAUCAACUGUACCAAUUUGGUUGCAGAUUGGAUGUGGGAGAUUUUGCAGGCUUUUGAUUUCUCUUUGAGAAAACGGUCAGCUCUCCUGAAAUAUAUUAGCAGUGCCUUUGUUGGUUCAUUAGGUGUGAUAAUUUAUCUACAUCUUCACAUGGUACCUUCAUUUGUGUAAAGGUCAUAUUGCUUCUAAUUGUCUUUGCACAUAAAAAAAAAAAAACAUAUAAUUGUAUGGAAAACUUGAUCUCAAAUCAGGCAGGACUACCCGCUGAACUUAAGCAUAUCAAUAAGCGGAGGA